CACGUUUUUUGUCGGGGUUCCCCUGGUAAAUUCACAAAUUUAAAUUCAACCUGCAGCAACAAUAAUAAAAUAGCCCAAUUUCGCUGGAAUACCGUGGACUUGGCAACACUGGUUAAAAUGCAGCCCUACAAAGCAAGAUUGGUUUAACCAAUAGUGUUAUUUUGGGGGCAGAAACCACUGUUAAAACAACCAAUGGCAGAUGGGAGAAGUGAUUUCAUUAGGUUCUUAGCCUACUUUCAGUUAGUUACUUUUUUAAAGUAGUUUUUGACACGCUGACUGGCAGAUGGAGAAAGUGUAGUGGCUGACAAUUAUCGUGGGCCGUGGGUGUAACAUUGACAGAAGAGUUUGAAACUGCGUUUAAGCUUUUCUGUGGAAUUAAUUACCUUUUCGUGCUUUGACAGGGGCCUUGCAGUUUUCUUUUAAUUUGAUUUCACCAGCAGGUACAUGAAGGGAUUCCUGGAAUACUAAAACAAAGGGCAUUCGUCUACAUAAUUUGAUAGGUGCCCUCUUUCACUUUGAACGUGAUGGAUCCAGCUCCUUGAUGAAGAAGGAUAACACGAAAGCGCGAGGAAGAGAAGACAUGCGCAUGUGCAUCGCUAUGAGGUUGUGAUGAGUCUGUGCAGAUGUAAAGAGACUGUGUAUCAGUGGCGUACUUUUCUCAUUUUCACCUGCGGCUUAACGGAAAUCCAUCAUAAAAAGGUUCCACUGUUUUUAUAACAUCUUCAUUGAUUCG